UGCGGUUGAACAACUAGACGGGCGGUUAUCAGCUGCAGCCGAGCGCGGUAUUGAUAGCGAUAACCGUUUGGUGAUUCUAAAUUAUUAAAUAGUAAAUAGUAAAUACAAAUUUACAAGUAUACGACUGUGGUCUGCGAGUAAGCGAGUAGCGUGACAAAUUUAAUUUAAUUUAAUUUGUUAGUGGGUGUAUUAGUGGAUGACUUCUCACAUCAAGUGUAGCCUGUUAAUUUUAUUCUCUAACCACAUAAACCUAUUGUGCCCCUAAGGGCCCGUAUUAAAUAGUUAAAGCAUAGUAGUGUCUACGGUAGCAGCCUGGGCUGCCCCUGCAAUUUUUGAAAUGUGCCGAUCAACCGAGUUUUAAGUCAAAAAAGUUACAACAUUUAUUUUUUUUUUAAAACUUGAUUUUUUUGUGGGUAUUGUUAUAAUUACUAUUUACUUAUAAAGAUUGAUUUCCUGACUUCCGAAAUCGGAAAAACCUAUCUACGGUACUCAUCUAGGUAUUAUUGAUAUUAUUGUUGUAUUAUUUUUGAUUUGUAGCUAGGUAUUGUAAUCCAAUGCUGUAGAUGAAUAAUAUUUCUGAAGUUACUGUAGAUUAUUAUUGUAAAUAGAUAAUUUAGACUUUUUUUAAAUUAUAUAAAUAUUUCAUUGUGGAGGGGGGGCUUAAAAAAAUAUGGCUUUGGGUGUAUAGGGCUUUUUUCAGUUCACUUAUAAGGUAGCGCCGGUUAUUAGCUAGGCUGCCCCUGCCAAUGAAGACAGGCACGUUAAAGUAAGGUUGAACCAUGGAAUUUGGCCGAUAAAAUCAGUGGGUUGAGCGUAGCCGAGGUUUAAACUAUGAUUGUAAAACGGGCCCCAAGAAAUAGAUUGUUUAUUAAUUCAAAUAAAAAAAAUGUAAUUGGUCAAUUAGUGUGUGAUAAAAAUUAAUUAGCGUUUAGCAAUAAUUUAUUUGCGAAACUGCAAACGUUGUAACUCGUUCAUAUUUUUUUGAUUAAUUAAUUUACAGUAUGUAUUUGGUAGUUUCAUAUUGGUACGGAUAUUGUAUGAAUCCGAUUGCCUGCAGUCGACGUUGGUUAAAAAUAUAUAAGCCAAUAUAUCUGAUACCAGGACUGUCAACCGCAACAUAAUUUCUCUCUUGUUUUAAUGUGUCAGAGUCUGGAACUGCAGCGCCAGACGCCAGUACACCACGACAUUCAACCGAUGAAAUUCCAACUAUACUGUAUGUCUCACUAAUAUAAUAAUAUAUGUACUUAGUUAUAUUUCAAAAGAUGGACUGCUUACUGUGGGCUCCCCAACAGGGGCAAUGCAUAUCUACAAACAUUAGCCAUUAGUCAUUACUCUUCUAAGGUGGUUACUACAAUGGUAGAACACUCGAUGACUUGGUCUGUACAGUUGUAGUGUGGUUGAAUUCCUGAUCACAUGAUGAAGUAACUUGAUUAUGGUUCAUCAAUAACAACUUAACGUGGUAACACAGAAGACAUUGUUCAACAUUCAACUUCAUUUAUUGUCAUCAUUGCUACCAUAGUGCCACCUGUCAUCGCUAUUGCUGUUGCUGCUGCUGCUAACAAACAUACACCCAAAGGUUAUUUCUAGUUGUUCUUUCCAAUGAUAUAGGUAGAUGUUAUAUAAAAAUAAUAAUGAACAGUGUUGGGUAGUAACAUAGCUACUUAAGUUACUUGUGACAAUGUGUAACUAUAUUACAUAGUUACUUUUUAAAAUUAUCUCGCUAUUAAUCGCGCCAUGGUUAAAACAACAAAACCAUUUUUACAUCUUUAAUAAAGCAUAUACAUUUUACAUUUUAAUCAUUGAUACUUAAUAUACUUUUUAAAAAAUAUUAUUAUAAUAAUAUUCUAAAUAAAUUGAAUUACUUAUAAUAUAUACCUAAAUUAAACCAAGGCUGAGCAUUAACGAGUUAAAAAUUUAAUUGUAUUUUAAUUUUUUAACUUAACUAGUUACUUUUGAAUUUUCAUUAACUUAACUAUUAACUUACUACAUUUCUUUUUAAACUAAAGAAUUCAUUUUUCAUUUUAAGAAGUAAGUUAAGUUAAUUUAUUUUGUUUUAAUUUUAUUUUAUUUCACUAUUACAGUCUAUUUUGUUUUCAUGUCAAAAAAUAUUUGCCAUGAAUUGUUUAAAAUUUAAAAUUUAUAUCAUUUGAGAUACUUAUAUGGAAAUACUGUAUAGUGUAUAGUGUAUACAUUAUAAACACUAUAUGGUCUAUUCAAAAUAAGAAACACAGUCGGUGGCCGACUACUUCACAUGGGCGUGGUUUCAUUGACCCGUGGAUACUAGACCAACUUGAUUCAGUAAAAAUACACGCUGCGUCUGACUGCCGCUGACAAAAACUGGUUGCCGUCGACUGUGUUUCUUAUUUUGAAUAGAUUAUAAUCUAUAAUUUAGUUUUAAGUUGCAAAAAAAUUAAGUACGCUAGCGUUGUAUAAAUAAAUGAACUUUUUUUUAACUUAAUAAAAAGUUGACAAAAAGUAUAUAUUAACUUUUAACUCAACUGAGUUAAAAAAAAAAUCAUUUACUUGCCCAGCCUUGGAUUAAACCAUUGAUUAUGAAUAAUAUUAAUUAUUAAUUAUAAUAAUAAUAUUCAUAAUCAAUGAUUAAAAUAAGAUAGAAGUGAGAUAUUAUUCAUAACAGGUAUACCUUUAAAUUUAAAUAAAACUCGUACAUUCCUAUUUUUUUAAAUAUCCAUUUUAUGUAUAAGGAUAAAGGGAGUAACUUUUUGUAAGAGUUUUAAUUUUUUGUCAUUGUAUGAAAUAUUAAUUUAUUUUAAUAAAAUUAAUAAAAAUGUAUGAAAUCACGGUUUUUAUUCUUAAAAAUUAUAAUGUGGGAAAAAAGACCAUGGUGCGAUUAAUGAUGUAAUAUAUAUUGUCAUGACUAACGUCGGGUUAAGUAUUGUAAUAACUAAUAAGUAUAAGAUGUAAAGAUUUAUUUUUUUAUUUUUUGUAACUUUUUAUAAAUUGUUUAUAAUAUUUUUAUUAUAUCAUUACUAAUUAAUGUGCGCAUUACAAUUUUAUUUACAUUGUAUUGAUAAUUGAUAGUAUAAUAUGAAUGUACUACCCGGGUAUAAGGAAAAAUUCAUCUUUAACUUGUGAUACAAUCCAUAUUAAAUUGAAGAAUUUGUUUAUUAGUGCUAAAUAUUUUUUAUUUUAAUAUGUGUACUCUCUCAAAUAAUUCUUAGGACCAGUUGUACCGUCUAUGGUUAAACUUCGAUUACGCUUAAUCAGCUGAUAACAGAUAUUUAACCAAGCAAAUUCGGCCAGUUAAACUCCGGUUAACUUUAAUCAGAUAUGGUACAACAGGCCCAUAAUAAGCUUUUUAAUGAUUAUAUAAUAUUUAUAUUUGAAUGAUUUAUCACAAAAAUUUAUAUUAUGAAAAUUAUCUUAUAUGAAACAUCAAUUAACUAUAAAAUUCUCCGAUUUUUAUGAUCUACAUGUCUAAAAACAUUUUAAAUUACAGAAAGUAAAUACAGAAUAUUCAGUUUAUCUUAUUUAUUAUUUUAUUUUUAACUUUAUUUUAAAUAGUGAAAGUAAUAUUAUUGUAACUAGUUGCUUUUGGGUAAAUAAAAUUAAUGUUAAAUAUUAUAUUUUGUAUUCAAGUAACAAAUUAAUUCUAGUUAUUUUUUAAAAGAAGCUAACUCAUAUCAAACCCUAAAUUUCUAUAUUUAGUUAUAAAGUUAUAAUUUAGAAAUACCAUAAUUAACUGUAAUUGAAUCAUAGAUUAUCGUUAUAUAAUAUGUACAAGUGCAAGUUAUAACCAGAAAUAGUAUUGUUAAGCACAUGAAAUUGGAAAUGUAUAUAUGUUCCAUACAUAUUUGUUCAAUAAUUAUUAAUAAUUUGUAUUAAGUUUAAUUAAAGUUCCCUUGUAAUACCAUUUACUAUGUAAUCAAAAAUGUUGUCAUGAGAGUUAAACAAUUUGUAUCUACAUUGUACAUAUGAACGUAUUAUCAUUGAUUAUAAAUACUAGUAUUUAUAAUCAAUGAUAUUAUACUUGUUCAUAUAUUCAAAUAGUGAAUUUUUUUUUUCAACUAAAAAGUGGAUAGUUUCUUUCAAAAACUAUUAAAACAUUUUUCAAUUCAGUACAUUUCACAUUGUGCUUAAAAAUUUAAUAUACUGAUCCCAUUUAAAUACUGUUUACUUUCUUAAAUUUUUAAUUAAAUUAGGGCUUCAAAACGUUAUGUAUAAUCUAAUAUCAUUAAUCAUUAAUCAUAAUCAAUGAUUAAAAAUAAACAAUAAAAGUAACAUAAAAAAAUUGCAAAUUACGUUAUUUGAAAUAACGUCAGUGCUUUUUUUUAUGUUGAACUUAACAUUACUAUUGUUUUUAAAUCUUGUAGUCUAUAAAAGUAUGAAUUUUAUAAGUUAUAACUAUGAAAAAUUCAAAUUUGGCAAUCUUAUGUUGAAAGUAAUUUAUAUUUUUGAAAUACUUUAUCCCUGUUUGAUUUAUAAAUAAUGAAUUUAAUAGAAUAUUAGUUUAUUUCUGUAAUUAAAAUUGUAAUAAGAUACAAAACUGCAAGCUCGUAGUUUGGUGUACCUACCCACCUACUAAAUACUUAAAUAAAAUUAACAUUAUUAUGCCA